UCCUGGGUAGCUCAGUGGGUAAAGAAUCUGCCUUCAAUGCAGGUAACCCCAGUUCGAUUCCUGGGUCAGGAA
rnacentral:tRNA from 1 species